rnacentral:rRNA from 1 species
UACGGAGGUGGCUAGCGUUGUUCGGAAUUACUGGGCGUAAAGCGGGUGUAGGCGGAUUGCUAAGUCGGGGGUGAAAGCCCAGGGCUCAACCCUGGAAUUGGCUUCGAUACUGGCAGUCUCGAGUGCAGGAGAGGUGAGCGGAAUUCCGAGUGUAGGGGUGAAAUUCGUAGAUAGUCGGAGGAACCCCAGAGGCGAAGGCGGCUCACUGGACUGUUACUGACGCUGAGACCCGAAAGCGUGGGGAGCAAACAGG